rnacentral:rRNA from 1 species
GGGGCGCAGCAGGCGCGAAACCUCCGCAAUGUGAGAAAUCGCGACGGGGGGAUCCCAAGUGCCAUUCUUAACGGGAUGGCUUUUCAUUAGUGUAAAGAGCUUUUGGAAUAAGAACUGGGCAAGACCGGUGCCAGCCGCCGCGGUAACACCGGCAGCUCUAGUGGUAACAAUUUUUAUUGGGCCUAAAGCGUCCGUAGCCGGUUUAAUAAGUCUCUGGUGAAAUCCUGUAGCUUAACUGUGGGAAUUGCUGGAGAUACUAUUAGACUUGAGACCGGGAGAGGUUAGAGGUACUCCCAGGGUAGAGGUGAAAUUCUGUAAUCCUGGGAGGACCGCCUGUUGCGAAGGCGUCUAACUGGAACGGUUCUGACGGUGAGGGACGAAAGUUAGGGGCGCGAACCGGAUUAGAUACCCGGGUAGUCCUAACUGUAAACGAUGCGGACUUGGUGUUGGGGUGGCUUUGAGCUGUCCCAGUGCCGAAGGGAAGCUGUUAAGUCCGCCGCCUGGGAAGUACGGUCGCAAGACUGAAACUUAA